GAUGAACGCUGGCGGCGUGCCUAAUACAUGCAAGUCGAGCGAACAGAUGAGGAGCUUGCUCCUCUGACGUUAGCGGCGGACGGGUGAGUAACACGUGGAUAACCUACCUAUAAGACUGGGAUAACUUCGGGAAACCGGAGCUAAUACCGGAUAAUAUUUUGAACCGCAUGGUUCAAUAGUGAAAGACGGUUUUGCUGUCACUUAUAGAUGGAUCCGCGCCGCAUUAGCUAGUUGGUAAGGUAACGGCUUACCAAGGCAACGAUGCAUAGCCGACCUGAGAGGGUGAUCGGCCACACUGGAACUGAGACACGGUCCAGACUCCUACGGGAGGCAGCAGUAGGGAAUCUUCCGCAAUGGGCGAAAGCCUGACGGAGCAACGCCGCGUGAGUGAUGAAGGUCUUCGGAUCGUAAAACUCUGUUAUUAGGGAAGAACAAAUGUGUAAGUAACUAUGCACGUCUUGACGGUACCUAAUCAGAAAGCCACGGCUAACUACGUG
rnacentral:rRNA from 1 species